UUUUGAAGGGGUUGUAGCUGGCCUUUUCGUUUGAGAGGCAUUUUGUGCACACCCUGAUCAUUAUCCAUCUCACACCUGUGCACACUCUGUAGGUCGGCUUUCGGGGGCAAGGUCUACACUGACUUUGCUUUUGUGGCCUGGCCUAUGUUUUUACCACAUACACUUUGUCUAAAGAAUGUUCAUUGCGUGUAACGCAUUUUUAUACAACUUUCAGCAACGGAUCUCUUGGCUCUCGCAUCGAUGAAGAACGCAGCGAAAUGCGAUAAGUAAUGUGAAUUGCAGAAUUCAGUGAAUCAUCGAAUCUUUGAACGCACCUUGCGCUCCUUGGUAUUCCGAGGAGCAUGCCUGUUUGAGUGUCAUGGAAUUCUCAACUCUAUUUGUUCUGUACAAAUAGGGCUUGGAUUUGGAGGGAAUUUGCUGGAUACUUUCAGUGUUCGGCUCCUCUUGAAUGCAUUAGCUUGAGCCUAUGGGGAUCAACUUUGGUGGGAUAAGUUUUCCGCCCCAUCCUGGGAAACAUGGUACUUUGGUAACUCUGGCUUCUAAAAUAUAAUCUAAUGGAAACCGCAUAAAAUUGACCUUUGA
rnacentral:rRNA from 1 species